AUUGAACGCUGGCGGCAGGCCUAACACAUGCAAGUCGAGCGGCAGCGGAGAGUAGCUUGCUACUUUGCCGGCGAGCGGCGGACGGGUGAGUAAUGUCUGGGAAACUGCCUGAUGGAGGGGGAUAACUACUGGAAACGGUAGCUAAUACCGCAUAACGUCGCAAGACCAAAGCGGGGGACCUUCGGGCCUCUUGCCAUCAGAUGUGCCCAGAUGGGAUUAGCUAGUAGGUGGGGUAAUGGCUCACCUAGGCGACGAUCCCUAGCUGGUCUGAGAGGAUGACCAGCCACACUGGAACUGAGACACGGUCCAGACUCCUACGGGAGGCAGCAGUGGGGAAUAUUGCACAAUGGGCGCAAGCCUGAUGCAGCCAUGCCGCGUGUAUGAAGAAGGCCUUCGGGUUGUAAAGUACUUUCAGCGGGGAGGAAGGUGUUGAGGUUAAUAACCUCAGCAAUUGACGUUACCCGCAGAAGAAGCACCGGCUAACUCCGUGCCAGCCGCCGCAGUAA
rnacentral:rRNA from 1 species